rnacentral:rRNA from 1 species
UACGAAGGGGGCUAGCGUUGUUCGGAAUUACUGGGCGUAAAGUGUGCGCAGGCGGCAGAGCAAGUCGAGUGUGAAAGCCCCGGGCUUAACUUGGGAAUUGCGCUCGAAACUACUUUGCUGGAGUGUGGCAGAGGGGGGUGGAAUUCCGCGUGUAGCAGUGAAAUGCGUAGAGAUGCGGAGGAACACCGAUGGCGAAGGCAGCCCCCUGGGCUAGCACUGACGCUCAGGCACGAAAGCGUGGGGAGCAAACAGG